GGGAAGGUAACUCAGUGGUAAGAGUGCUUGCCUUGGAUGUAUGAGGCCCUGGGUUCGAUUCCUCAGCACCA
rnacentral:tRNA from 1 species